AAGAAAGUCAAAAAAGAAAAAGAGAAGACAUGGGAUUCAGGUUGAGGACCAGGGCAUCCAACAUGGAGAAAGAUGAAAGUCAUGAUGAUGGCUGAGGGGGAUCCUAUGAAGACAGUUAUCCUCAACACACUGAGGGCAGCUAGUCCUAACUGGAACAGGUCAGAGUAUUCUAGAAGAUACUUCUUUAAGAAGAUGGAAUUGAUAGAACCCUCAAUGAAUGCAUGAAGUGUUCUAUCUGAAUGCAUGGAGAGAUGUAACUAUUGACAGAAUUUGGAGCUAAACCAGUGGAUGAACAUCUGGGGUGGACCAGUCCUGAUGUAAUGAAGA
rnacentral:lncRNA from 1 species